rnacentral:misc_RNA from 1 species
GAUGAAGAACGCAGCGAAAUGCGAUAAGUAAUGUGAAUUGCAGAAUUCAGUGAAUCAUCGAAUCUUUGAACGCACAUUGCGCCCCCUGGUAUUCCGGGGGGCAUGCCUGUUCGAGCGUCAUUUCACCACUCAAGCCUCGCUUGGUAUUGGGCAACGCGGUCCGCCGCGUGCCUCAAAUCGACCGGCUGGGUCUUCUGUCCCCUAAGCGUUGUGGAAACUAUUCGCUAAAGGGUGUNCGGGAGGCUACGCCGUAAAACAACCCCAUUUCUAAGGUUGACCUCGGAUCAGGUAGGGAUACCCGCUGAACUUAAGCAUAUCAAUAAGCGGAGGA